rnacentral:rRNA from 1 species
ACUCCUACGGGAGGCAGCAGUGAGGAAUAUUGGUCAAUGACGCAAGUCUGAACCAGCCAUGUCGCGUGCAGGAAGACUGCCCUAUGGGUUGUAAACUGCUUUUAUACGGGAAGAAAUAUAGCUACGUGUAGUUAUUUGCCGGUACCGUAUGAAUAAGCAUCGGCUAACUCCGUGCCAGCAGCCGCGGUAAUACGGAGGAUGCGAGUGUUAUCCGGAUUCAUUGGGGUUUAAAGGGGUGCGUAGGCGGAAGUAUAAGUCAGGGGUGAAAGUUUGUGGCUCAACCAUAAAAUUGCCUUUGAUACUGUAUUUCUUGAGUACAUUUGAGGUAGGCGGAAUGUGUUGUGUAGCGGUGAAAUGCUUAGAUAUAACACAGAACACCGAUUGCGAAGGCAGCUUACUAAACUGUAACUGACGCUGAUGCACGAAAGCGUGGGGAUCGAACAGGAUUAGAUACCCUGGUAGCACAGAG